rnacentral:rRNA from 1 species
UACAGAGGGUGCGAGCGUUGUUCGGAAUUAUUGGGCGUAAAGGGCGCGUAGGCGGUGCGGUAAGUCACCUGUGAAAACUCGAGGCUCAACCUCGAGACGCCGGUGGAAACCAUCAGACUAGAGUCCGGAAGAGGAGAGUGGAAUUCCUGGUGUAGCGGUGAAAUGCGCAGAUAUCAGGAGGAACACCGGUGGCGAAGGCGGUUCUCUGGGCAUGUUCUGACGCUGAGGAGCGAAAGUGUGGGGAGCGAACAGG